UCGAUAUCGAUUUUUAUCGAUUACUUCGAAUCAGGACAAUUUAUCGAAUAUCGAAAACAAACUCGAUCUGCGCGGGGACUAGGAGGACCUACAGCUAAAAUUUCAAGUCUCUAGCUCUCAUGGGUUCUGAUAUCCUUGCUUUAAUACAUACAUACGGACGGACAUGGCUAGAUCGACUCGGCUAUUAAAGCUGAUCGAGAAUAUGUUUACUUUAUGGGGUCGGAGAUGCUUCCUUCUGACUGUACAUACAUUUGCAUAAAUACAUUAUACCCUUUUCACCCAUUUUUAAUGGGUUCUGGGUAUAAAAAUAAUAAAAUUCUAAAAUGCGUAUUAGACACGGGGUCGUCUGUUAAUUUAAUGAAAGAAGAUUUCCCAAAAUUCCCUAUAAAAAACUGUCAAUUAGAAGUACACAUACCGCUGAAACCCAGAAAACUUUGCGCCACUCAUCAGAAAUUUUUUUACAUAAUUUUUUUAAGCCAUAAUAGAUUACAAAAACAAAACUGUACGAAUUAAAGAUUUCACAUUUACAUUUAAAACAAUUCAGAAAUUGAAUUUCCAAGGGACGAAUCAGAUCCCGGAUAUCUUGUUCCACCCCCAUCUCAUGACGAGCAAUUAGUGUUCGCCAACAACAAUGAGCUUUCAGAGUUCAAUGAAUUCCGCCUAGAUCAUCUAAACGAUGAAGAAAAAUGCAAAUUAACUAAAGUCUUUCUUGAGUUUGGUGACAUUCAGUACCGAGAGGGUGAACAUUUGAUUUUCACAAGUACACAAGGUUUACAAAAAACUGUAUAAAUAUGCCCAAACAUUCGACCAAGAAGUCGAUAACGAAAUCAAAGAUAUGAUUUACCAAGGGAUAACACGCAAAACGAAAUCACCUUAUUGUUCGCCUCUUUGGAUCAUACCCAAAAAGAGGGAUGCAUCCGGGAAAUCAAAAUUUAGGAUAUUCAUUGACUAUCGAAGCCUUAAUGAAGUCACAGUUGAUGACAAAUACCCUAUACCAGCAAUGGAUAUAUACUCGACAUACUUGGUAAAUGUCAGUAUUUCACUACCAUUGACCUCUUGAAAGGUUUUUAAUUAGAUCCAAAUGGAUAAAAAAUCAAUUCCUAAGACUGCUUAUUCUACGAAAAUAAACAUUACGAGUACUCUCGUAUGCCGUUUAAAUGGAAAAAUGCACCUGCAACGUUUCAACGCUGAACAAUCUCCUUGAAGAUUUGAACUACAAGGAUAUGGAUACUCCACUUCUUUGGAGGAACAUAUAUUGUCAUUGAGGAAUUAUUCACAAAACUAAGGGUGGCCAAUCUAAAGCAAUACAAAAAUUCCCAAUACCUAAAACAGCGAAGAUAAUCAAAAAAAUUUUAGGACUUUGCGGUUCUUACCGAAAGUUAAUCCCAAAUUUUACAAAAAUAGCGAAACCAAUGACAGCAAAAUUGAAAAAAGGUGCAAUCAUAAUCACCAAAGAUAAACAGUACAUAAAUCAUUUGAAAAAUUAAAGCUUAUCAUGUCCGAUCCGAUACUAGUAUAUUAUAAUUUCGAGAAACAAUUCUCGUUAACCAUAGAUGUCAGUAAUACUGCCAUAGGAGCAGCAUUAUCCCAAGAUCAUAAAUCAAUCUGCUAUGCCAGCAGAACAAUAAAUGAACAUGAAGUCAACUAUUCGGCAAUAGAAAAGAGACUUUUAGCUAUUGUCUGGGCCACUAAAUACUUCAGGUCCUAUCUUUUUGGAAAGAAAUUCGAAAUCCUUAGUGAUCACAGACCCCUAGUUUGGUUGAGUAGUAUGAAAGAACCCAAUAUGAAGCUACAAAGAUGGAAAAUCAAGCUAAAUGAGUUUGAUUAUCACUGAAAAAAGUAAGAUGAAACAACACGACUGUUUCCAUUCAGUAGGGUUUUUGGAAUGUUCUUUAUUCGGAACUCUGUCCGCUUCAAAACCUAAGAUAUAGAUAUUAUUAUAUGUAUUGCUCUGUCGCAGGAGAGCUUAAUUAAAAGAGACAGAGUGUGGUACUCUUGGUAUGCACUACAUAAGCGUAGCGUGUGAUAUGCGCCGUCAGCUAAACGGGCAGCUAGAGUACUAGCGGUCCGCGCUGCGUAAUAUGAGCCUGAGUCAAUAAACUCAAGUGGCUCUGCGCUUUUGGCUUUAUGUUUGUUAUUGAAUGCAACAAAAUGUCGCAUACGUAUGUAUUUAAAUAAAGGGUGUUAUUUAAAAUUAAUAUACACACUACAUCACAUGAAAUAUGUCAAAUAAUAAAACUAUGUAGCAGACGCCGAAUUAAAAUAGGGGAAAAUUUACUAGGUGAAACCCCAAAUAGCCUAGCAGCGACAAUACAUAGCACAUAAGAAGAUAACGAAAAUCAUAUUUCUAUCACUGAAAGACCAGUUAAUUACUAUAAUAAGCAAUUAGAAUUCAUAAAAACCAUUAAUAAUCAAAAUUUCUUAUCAGGAAAUGACCCAUUAGUACGCUAAAAAAUGGAUUAAAGAAUAUUUAUGCACUAAGAAAAGUGUAAUUUACUUCCACAAUGAAGCCGAUUUCAUAGUUUUCCAAAACGCUUACAUUGAAAUAAUUAACCCAAAUACCCAAACAAAGGUAAUGAAAUCCAGUAAACAAAGAAAAAUAUUACCGAUCACCAAAAACUGAUAUAAAACAUUAUAAAUGAAUGCGAAUGCGAACACAUAUGCUACAUAGCCAAAACUGAACACAGAAACACAAAGCUCUCCUUUUAACUACUCCAGAAACGUUCAACCCCCGAGAGAAAUACGUCAUGGAUUUUUAUAUCAUUGACAAUAGACAGUUUCUAUCUUGUAUAGACAUAUAUCCCAAAUAAGCUUCAUUAAUAGAAAUUAAUAGCAGAGAUUGGCUCGAAACAAAACGAGCAAUCCUCCAAAUUUUCAACCUAAUGGGUAAACCAACAGACAUUAAAGCCUACAAAGAUUCAGCAUUCGUGUGCGCAGCACUUCAAUUAUGGUUACAGUCCGAUAAUGUCCAAAUAACAAUAACCACUAGUAAAAAUGGAAUUUCUGAUAUUGAGAGAUUUCACAAAACAGUUAACGAAAAACUAAGAAUAAUAAACAGUGAGUCCGAUCCAGAAAACAAAUUAACAACUUAAAACACCAACUUAGAACACCAAACGAUAUCUUUAUAUCGGAACGCCCGCAUAUAACACUCAAGUAAACAAAUUUAAUAAAAUAUCAAGUUUAAAUGAAAAACGUUAAGAUUUCGAUAUAGGUACUAGAUUUAAGGAAGCAUCUCUAGUAAGAUCAAAGACUACAACACCAUUCAAGAAAACAAUAAAUCUCAGGCAAAUAGAUGAUAAACAUUUUGAAGAAAGCAAUAGAGGUAGAAAAAUCACACACUACUAAUCUAAGUUUAAGAAGAAAAAGGAAACCCACCUUAAACUAUCAGCAUACUUAAUAUUAUUCCUAAUAACCACCUACGUCCGAGAAGCCCAAAGUAUAGAAAUCAAUCCGGCCCAAGUUAAGUAUAAAAUAUUUAAAUAUUUAAAAUAUUUACAAGACAAACUGGAAAGAGAAAUGAACUGCAUAAGAAUAGCAAAACGCAGCAAACGCGGUCUUUCUAAUUUUAUGGGUACAAAUUAUAAAUAUUUACUCGGCAUAUUUGAUCAACAAGAUAAAGAGGAAUUAUAAUCUAAAAUGAACAACAUAGCAGAAAACAGCGUACAAGCAAACGAACUAAAUCGAGUAUUAGAAGCAGUCAAUACAGGCAUAGAAACCAUUAAUCAUUUCAAUCAAGUAGAUUAGGUAAGCCAAAGGUUAGCACUCCUCAUUUUCAACCUCCAAGAAUUCACCGAAUUCAUAGAAGACAUAGAGUUGUGAAUGCAACUUACCAGACUUGGAAUUUCAACCCAAACUUACUAAAACAUGACACUUUACAACACGUUAAUUCGGAAAAAAUAUUAAAUAUAAAAACUUCAACAUGGUUAAAGACUGACACAAACGAAAUUUUGAUCAUAUCCCGUACUCUACGAGAGAUAGUUCAAACACCGAUUUUGAAAUAUAACCAUAUCCAGACAAGGAUAACAACAUCUUGACAGAAGAAAUUCAUGACAAGUAAUUCAUGCAAGACAAGCAGGCCUGCACGGCAAACACAAAUGAAUUAAUUACAAAGAAAUGCAUAACAGGGAUUUUAAUUCAAGUCACAACAGAAUGUAGCUAUACGAAAACAAGAAAGAAUUUUGAAAUCAAUUAUAUUGAGCCUAAUAUGCUUAUUACUUGGAAUCUACCCAAAACACUUCUAAAACAAGAUUGCAUCAAUAUAAAAAUGAUAGUAGAAGUUAACAACCUUAUAAAAGCGUCAAACUGUUCAAUCGAACUAGAUGAAAUAACCAAAUUAGAACCACUUUCUUACAUUCAAGGCAAAGAAAUCGUAAAAGCGCACACGAAAAUGUACAAUAUUUUUCAAAUUGUAACCGUAACAACACUUUGCAUAAUCAUAAGCGCCAUAAUAUUGUAUAUUCUCUAUAAGUUCAAAGCAUUACCCUAAAGAAUAAUUGUAAAGUAUAAGAAUAAAAAAGAAGAACCACAAAUGGAAGAACCGAUCAAUAUACAAUUACAUGCAAAUAUUGUAAGCAAUAGCAACUUAAAUGAAACCGAUAAUAUUGUAAUUAACAAUAAUCCAAAAUUAUACCCGAAAAUGUCCGCCUGAGGACAGGCUAGUUUCAUAGGAAUGGGAAGUGACAUAUGUACCACACCCACAACAUAUACUAUAAGUACACAUACACAUUUGUCCACAGCACCUAAUUCCAACUCCUUAAUAAUCAGCCCUAGCAACUAAGCGCACUACUGAAAUAUGUAACACGAGACGCCCCAAUUUGUAACAAUAAACCUUAGAGGCCCGAAAUGAUAAAUUCUUGGUAACAAUAACAAUUCUGGUGUGGAACCGAUCAUUAAAUCAAAGACCACUAGACAUAAACAUCCGCCACAAUUAAUUCCCAUAAAACGGGCCUAUUUUAAAAUAAAGUAAUAUUUUUUUAAGUAA